rnacentral:lncRNA from 1 species
GGGCACUUUUGAGUGGGCGCGGGCUGCCUCAGACUGGCCACCUGGUAAGGCCUCCAACAGUUCUUCCGGUAACACAAAGCCAGACACCUGGAAACACAACCCUUGCACAGGAGUCUUCUGGCACCCUUUUAUUUGGCGUCGCCCAUAGCAUGCAGAAAUUCUGGGGCCAGGAAUCAAACCCGUGCCACAGUCGUGAUAAUCCUUAAUCUGCUGUGCCACAGGGGAACUCCUAAACGCCUUUUUAGGUAUGCAAAGAGAUCCCUUUUUUGUUUUGCUUUUUAGGGCCACACCUGCAGCACAGGGAGGUUCCCAGGCUGGGGGAUGAGUCAGCCCUGAUAUUCCUGGCUCACCCAGCAGGACAGAGACAAGUGAACUCACCCCACCCCGCUUGUAUGUUGCAAAUUUAGUAUAGAAAGUUCUCACAUGCUCUCUGCCCAGUUCCUAUUUUUUUUUUUUUUUUUUAACUUUUGUCUUUUUAGGGCUGUACCUGCAGCAUAAGGAGGUUCCCAGGGUAGGGGUCCAAUCGGAGCUGCAGCUACCAGCCUACGCCACAGCAAUUCCAGAUGCAAACCGCCUCUGUGACCUACGCCACAGCUCAGGGCAAUGCUGGAUCCUUUUCUUUAGGGCCACACCCGCGGCAUAUGGAGGUUCCCAGGCUAGGGGUCUAAUUGGAGUUGUUGCUGCUGGCCUACGCCAGAGCCACAGCAACACCAGAUCAGAGCCGCGUCUGCGACCUACACCACAGCUCAUGGCAAUGCCAGAUCCUUAACUCCCUGAGCCAGGGAUGGAACCGCAACCUCAUGGUUCCUAGUCAGAUUCGUUUCCACUGCCAUUGCGCCACGAUGGGAACUCCCUACCUCACUUAUUUAUUCUUUUUAUCACUAUUAUAUUAUUCUGUUGUCAUAACCCCCAAAUAUUAUUAAUUUUGCUGCUCAUGUUAUUCCAGCUUUGGCCAGUAGGAGCUCUGUCAGGUUGCUCCUGAGUUUUUUCUACAUGCCCCCAUCCUUUCUGGAGCACUUCCUUACUUUCUAGCAAUGCAGGACGCUCCAGGCUCAUCUUUUAUUUUCCUGCCCUAGUCCUGGAACGGCCACAGGCAGGAAGAAAGGAAAGAAAGUGUGCUGACAGGCACUCCCGUCCUCUCUCUCCCAUCCCCGGACCCACAAGGGUUCUCUCCCAGCUCCCUAUUCUUCUCUUCAGGAAGGAUGUGGCUAGAGCAGGCGGGAUGGGCUCUUUGUGGGCGACGCCCCGCUGGGUCCUUGUUAGGACUCCCCAGGUGUGUUUGCGGUGCAAGGACUUUACUCAGAGGAGCAUGACCGGGUCUCAAGAGUUACCAGAAAAGGAUGCAUUAACUGCCAACUGCGGCAGCUGCAACCUGCAGCACAACUCUUCCUCCCUCCCCUUUCCUGGGCUCCGGGGAAAGGACGGUGGGAAGGGAACCUCAGCUGGAGGAAUGGGAGUCUAAUUCCCACCGGGUCAAAGGCUUUCCGACUUAGACACAAGCUUACGACGUGGAAAAGUAACUUUAUCCAGGACGUCCCGAUCCGUAUUUCUCUCUAUUGCUGCUCCAAUUAUGAUGUCUUAUCUUGCCAGCAACACAAUGUGCAGCCCAAACUGGCUCAGGCAAACAGGUUUUAGUGACUCAACCGAAAAGAAGGGGUUGGACCGCAGGUACUGGCUCCACGUCUCACCAAAGUAACAGCAGCAACAGUGUCGUGCCCUGACUGGACGACUCGUCCCUCAGGACCGGAAACACCGGCCGACCGCUCCGGGGCCGGGAGCAAGCGACACUCCAAGUGAGCGGGUUCCCUGGGGGAGUGGGGAUCCGGUCGGGCCGCGGCCACGUGACACAGACUCGACCAAUCGGGGAAGACGCACGCUG